UUGGACACGACAAGUGACUUUCGCUUAUGUUAAAGUGAAGUCGCUCAGUCGUGUCCAACU
rnacentral:pre_miRNA from 1 species